AGAGUUUGAUCAUGGCUCAGGAUGAACGCUGGCGGCGUGCCUAAUACAUGCAAGUCGAACGGAAACAUAGUAGCAAUACUUUGUUUUAGUGGCGAACGGGUGAGUAACGCGUUGGUGACCUGCCUCGAAGCGGGGGAUAACAGUCCGAAAGGAUUGCUAAUACCCCAUGUGGCCAUAAGGGUUAGAGGCCUUAUGACUAAAGGAGUAAUUCACUUCGAGAGGGGCCUGCGUCCCAUCAGCUAGUUGGUAGGGUAAUGGCCUACCAAGGCUUAGACGGGUAGGGGACCUGAGAGGGUGACCCCCCACACUGGAACUGAAAACGGUCCAGACACCUACGGGUGGCAGCAGUAGGGAAUAUUGCCCAAUGGACGAAAGUCUGAGGCAGCAACGCCGCGUGUGCGAUGAAGGCCUUCGGGUUGUAAAGCACUUUUAUGAGGGAAGAGCAAGGACUUACCUCAGAAUAA
rnacentral:rRNA from 1 species